GAUGAACGCUGGCUGCGUGCUUAACACAUGCAAGUCGAACGAAGCACUUUAUUUGAUUUCCUUCGGGACUGAUUAUUUUGUGACUGAGUGGCGGACGGGUGAGUAACGCGUGGGUAACCUGCCUUGUACAGGGGGAUAACAGUUGGAAACGGCUGCUAAUACCGCAUAAGCGCACAGCAUCGCAUGAUGCAGUGUGAAAAACUCCGGUGGUAUAAGAUGGACCCGCGUUGGAUUAGCUAGUUGGUGAGGUAACGGCCCACCAAGGCGACGAUCCAUAGCCGACCUGAGAGUGUGACCGGCCACAUUGGGACUGAGACACGGCCCAAACUCCUACGGGAAGCAGCAGUGGGGAAUAUUGCAAAAUGGGCGAAAGCCUGAUGGAGCGACGCCGCGUGAGCGAAGAAGUAUUUCGGUAUGUAAAGCUCUAUCAGCAGGGAAGAUAAUGACGGUACCUGACUAAGAAGCACCGGCUAAAUACGUG
rnacentral:rRNA from 1 species